rnacentral:lncRNA from 1 species
AUGAGAAUCACUCAUCCCUGGAUGAAUGCAAACCACUCACCAGCCUCCAGCCCAAAUGCCUGCUCUCACCUCCCACAGGGUUGUCCGAAGUCAAAGUUCAAGUUCAUUCUUCAUGGCACCUCUUUCCAUCGUGGGUAUGAAGGAUGGAUUUGCACUCACCCAUGCUCUUCUCUAAUCACUGGGACUAACAGGAUCAUGGCUCCCACUGGCCGGGACUGGGCAGUCAGCCUGCAGCCAUGGAACAGAGGAGGGGGAAUGCUCCCAUUGCCCUUGGCUUUGAAGAACUCACUGUCAAAUCCACUGAGCUAACCAACUCCAGAUCUUUCCCUGCGGAGAACCGUGUAAUAGGCAUGUAAAAGCGAUGAAGGGGAUUGCUUUGGAAACUUGUAUAAAUAACUCUUUGGGCAGGAGAAAGAUUGCCAACACCUGCUUUUUGUUUUCUGGUAUUUAUUAGAGCCACCCUGUGAGGGACCUCUAAGCUUCCUGGAUCUUAUUCAUUUAUCUGAGUUCAUUCUUGGUUCAGGGUCAGCACUGUUGAGGGUGUAGAAAAAGCUGGCAAGGAUCAGAGGAGGGGAGUUCCCAUUGCAGUUCAGCAGUAACGAGCCUGACUAGUCUCCAUCAGGAUGCAGGUUUGAUCCCUGCCCUUGCUCAGGGGGUUAAGGAUCCAGCAUUGCCAUGAGCUGUGGUGCAGGCACAGCCGUAGCUCAGAUCCCACAUUGCUGUGGCCGUGUCACAGGCCAGCAGCUGCAGCUCCUAUUCGACCCCUGAACAACUCGCCUGUGAAUUUCCAUAUGCUGCAAGUGUGGCCCUAAAAAGCAAACAAACAAACAAACAAAAACAAAAAAAUAAAAACAAAAACAAAACUCAGAAAAAGACCACUGACUGUGAGAUUUCAGUAAGUGCAUAAGGUUCAGAAGUCUCCACAUCGACAGGAAUGAUCUUCAGGCCAAAUCUAAUUGUUCACCAUGCUUUUCCUAACUCAUUACUUCCUACUCCACUCCCCUCACAGUCAGUUAUUAAUGUAGCACCCAUCCAGUCAUUCAUACAUUUACCCAUUCGCUUACCUAGUAACAAUAAUUAGUCUAAUAUCAUGAUAGGUAUUCUCCUAGGUGCUGGGAAUAGUGAUGAAUCAGACUAGUCCAUGCCCAGGAAGAGUAGGGGAUGGACAGUUUAGUACAGCCUGAUCAGGGCUGUGACAAAUGUAGGUACAAGGUAACUAAUCCAGGCUGGUGAGGCCAGUCCGGAGUAAGUCUCGAGCUAUGUCUGGAAAAUAGUGGGAAUGGUGGGUUAGACAGGGGAAUAGCAUGAGUAAAGGCAGGGUAACCUGAACUUUGGCUGCUCAAAGCAUGCUCCAUGGAUCAGCCAAAUUAGCAUCACCUGAUGCUUAUUAGAAAUGCAGACUCUUGGGCCCCACCCCAGGCCUACUGAAUCAGAUUCUGCAUAUUAACAAGACCCUGCAAGAAUGCUAAUGCCCAUUAAUGUUUGUGAAGCACAAGUCUAAACACCAUUUCUCAGAGAAGCUGCCAGUGGUUGCCAGCCAUCACACUCCCAGUGCCGAACUCCUUGCUCUCAGCCAGAGCCACCUCCCUCUGCUGACUCGAAGAUUCAGCCCUGGGCUCUCCUUCCAGCUCCCUAACUUGCUUCACACUCCAGCAUCCUAAGCCAUCUAAUGGUUUCUGGGAAAUAAAACGUUUCUUCCCCUGGAAGCGUUGCAAAGACUAGUUUUCUUCUAGCUACAACACUGGCUAUGAUUUUGGACCCAGGAAUUCCACUCUGAGGACAUUAACCCAAGGGAGAAAAAAAUCCAAAAGAAAACAGUCAUUUAUACUCAGAUGUUAGAUGUUUAUAGCCAUGUCAUCUUCAAUCACACACAGUCAAAAGAGAAACAACCCAAAUGCCCAGCAUCGGUGCAGAAGUCGGAGGUGGGGAGCUGGGUGUUCCCCAAGCACACGUGGGGGUGGCUGGCGCUGCCUCUGGGGACAUGUCAGGAUGUCCUGGACUGUGUCCUGGCUGGAAAGUCAGGAAACCUGGGUCUCUGUUUCCUUCUACCCCUCUGGACUGCACCCCCUUGGGUAAUCCCACUCCAGUCCGGGGGCUUCAGGUUCUUGGGUGAUUUCUAGGUUUUGACAUUCAAUCUGUGCCCCAAAUCCGCCCCGCGUAAGCUUGCCCUUCUACCCAAAGAGGUGGUGCCCAGAACAAAUCCAUCCUGGGAGGGGCAGUGUAGAAACUGAGAUAUUGAGUGCAGCCAACAAAGACCGCAGGGUUGGGGGGAGGGAGGAAGAAAGAGGGGGGAGGGAGAGAAGGGUGGACAGAGGGAGAGGGAGGAAGGGAGGGAGGGGAGAGGGGAAGGGGGGAAGGAGGGAGGAAGGGAGGAAAGGGGUGGCGCAGAGAAUGUGUAUUGAACUCCUAUUCUGUGUAGACUCCGUGACACUAAUAAAAGCUAGUGUUUACUCCAUGCUUGCUGUUCUCCAGACUCUGUUUUAAGUGCUUUAUAUGCAUUAACUCCCUUAAUUCCUUACAUCAACACUAUAAAGUCAGAAUGAUUAUCACCCCCACUUUUCAGAUAAGAUUUAGGAAUGGCC